UGUCAUGCCCCCCAUGUAUGUGCAUGUGUUUAUACUUGCGUGUGCAUGUUCAUGUGUAUGUGUGUAUAAUAUAAAUAUAAAUAUACAUACACACUAACAUAGACAUGCACGUG
rnacentral:miRNA from 1 species